CCCUUAGAUGUUCUGGGCUGCACGCGCGCUACACUGAUGCGCUCAACGAGUUUUAACCUUGCCUGGAAAGGUUGGGUAAUCUUUUUAAAACGCAUCGUGAUGGGGAUAGAUUAUUGCAAUUAUUAAUCUUCAACGAGGAAUUCCUAGUAAGCGCGAGUCAUCAGCUCGUGCUGAUUACGUCCCUGCGCUUUGUACACACCGCCCGUCGCUCCUGCCGAUUGAGUGAUCCGGUGAAUAAUUCGGACUGCGGCAUUGACCGGUUCCCGAUCGUUGCUGCGGAAAGUUUAGUGAACCUUAUCACUUAGAGGAAGGAGAAGUCGUAACA
rnacentral:rRNA from 1 species